rnacentral:rRNA from 1 species
ACCAGCAGUCAUAUCACCCUGCAGCCCAAGACUGGUUGCCCACUGAAGCUAAGCAGGGUUGAGCCUGGACAGUACCUGGAUGGGAGACCUCCUGGGAAAACUAGGUUGCUGCUGGAA